GGGUGAGUAAUACAUCGGAACGUACCCAGAAGUGGGGGAUAACGUAGCGAAAGUUACGCUAAUCCCGCAUACGUUCUACGGAAGAAAGUGGGGGAUCGCAAGACCUCAUGCUUUUGGAGCGGCCGAUGUCUGAUUAGCUAGUUGGUGAGGUAAAGGCUCACCAAGGCGACGAUCAGUAGCUGGUCUGAAGAGGACGUCCAGCCACACUGGAACUGAGACUCGGUCCAGACUCCUACGGGAGGCAGCAGUGGGGAAUUUUGGACAAUGGGCGCAAGCCUGAUCCUAGCAAUGCCGCGUGAGUGAAGAAGGCCUUCGGGUUGUAAAGCUCUUUUGUCAGGAAAGAAACGGCAGUGGCUAAUAUCCUUUGCUAAGACGGUACCUAAGAAUAGCUCCGGCUAGGUUACGUG
rnacentral:rRNA from 1 species